CCUCCUAGCCUUCUUUCCCUCAUCUAUCAAUGUCUCAGGGGAGUAACGACCUAGCUCUAGGAACUUAUGAACAUAUUCCGAUACCGUCAUGUUUUCCUGGACUAGCUGGACAAACUCUAUCUCCUUUAGAUAUCGGAUGUGCUCGGGGAGGUACUCUGCAUGAAAGGCUGCUAAGAACUGCUCCCAAGUGACUGGUGUAGGCAGAGUGGUCUGCUUGAGCUCCCACCAACGACUUGCUUCCCCCACUAGCAUGUAGGAAGCAAGGGUAACCCUCUGUUCGGGAACCACUCCUAAUGUCUUGAAGGCUUUCUCUGUCUCCGCCAACCAGUACUGGACAUCUUCGAAAGAGGACUCCCCUACAAAAGUGGAAGGGUUCAGUCUCCUGUACCUCUCUACAUAGCCCGGGUCAAUCAGGGAAGGAGCUGGGUCCCGUGGAAGAGGGACUGGGCCAAGCUAAGGAUAGACUGGGGGGCCCUGUGGUGGCACCUGCUGAUAUAAUGGGAGCACUGGAUUGUACUGUGGCAGUGCUGGGCAGUACUGUGGCUAGGGCACCGGAUCAUACUGCGGCGGUGGUGCCGAGGGGUACUGUGGAGGAGUAGGCUCAUGCCGGGGUGGCUCGGGAUCCGCUCGCUGUAAUGGUGGCUCAACCUGUGGUAGUGGGGGAGGGUCGGAUAACUCCCUUCUCUCCUCUUGGGCUUACUGGGCAACAAUGAUCCUUUCUAGCAUCUCAAAUAUUCUGUCCACAUCUUCCCGAAGCGAAUCAUCUCGGGCUGCUCGGUUUAGUUGGGGUCUUCCUCU
rnacentral:lncRNA from 1 species